GUCGAACGAGAAAGUGGAGCAAUCCAUGAGUAAAGUGGCGACCGGGUGAGUAACACGUGACUAACCUACCUUCGAGUGGGGGAUAACCUCGGGAAACCGGGGCUAAUACCGCAUAAUGCCUUCGGGUUAAAGGAGCAAUUCGCUUGAAGAGGGGGUCGCGGCUGAUUAGCUAGUUGGCGGGGUAACGGCCCACCAAGGCGAUGAUCGGUAGCCGGCCUGAGAGGGCGCACGGCCACACUGGAACUGAAACACGGUCCAGACUCCUACGGGAGGCAGCAGUGGGGAAUUUUGCGCAAUGGGGGAAACCCUGACGCAGCAACGCCGCGUGGAGGAUGAAGUCCCUUGGGACGUAAACUCCUUUCGACCGGGACGAUUAUGACGGUACCGGUGGAAGAAGCCCCGGCUAACUUCGUGCCAGCAGCCGCGGUAAUACGAGGGGGGCGAGCGUUGUUCGGAAUUAUUGGGCGUAAAGGGUGUGUAGGUGGCGCGCUAAGUUCCGUGUGAAAUCUCCCGGCUCAACCGGGAGGGUGCGCGGAAAACUGGCGGGCUAGAGUACGGGAUGGGAGAGUAGAAUUCCUGGUGUAGCGGUGAAAUGCGUAGAUAUCAGGAGGAAUACCGGUGGUGUAGACGGCUCGCUGGACCGUAACUGACACUGAAACACGAAAGCGUGGGUAGCAAACAGGAUUAGAUACCCUGGUAGUCCACGCCCUAAACGAUGCAUAUUUGGUGUAGGUCAUUCAGUUGAUCUGUGCCGGAGCUAACGCGUUAAAUAUGCCGCCUGGGG
rnacentral:rRNA from 1 species